CUCUAUGGGCGGGUCGAGGUGAGGGAGCCGAAAGGCUCGCCGGUUUUGGUUUAACUCCCGGUCCGUCAACCUUGCUUCGUGCCCGCUCACCCCA
rnacentral:antisense_RNA from 1 species